rnacentral:rRNA from 1 species
AGCGGCGGACGGGUGAGUAACACGUGGGCAACCUGCCCCUCAGACAGGGAUAACGCCUGGAAACGGGUGCUAAUCCCCGAUGGGUUCUUCUUUCGCAUGAGAGAAGAAGGAAAGGCGCUACGGCGUCACUGAGGGAGGGGCCCGCGGCGCAUUAGCUGGUUGGUGAGGUAACGGCCCACCAAGGCGACGAUGCGUAGCCGACCUGAGAGGGUGACCGGCCACACUGGGACUGAGACACGGCCCAGACUCCUACGGGAGGCAGCAGUAGGGAAUCUUCCGCAAUGGGCGCAAGCCUGACGGAGCAACGCCGUGUGAGUGAAGACGGUCUUCGGAUUGUAAAGCUCUGUCAUCCGGGGAGAGCGGCCAGGAGAGGGAAUGCUUCUGGCGAGACGGUACCGAAGGAGGAAGCCCCGGCUAACUACGUGCCUGCAGCCGCGGUAAUACGUAGGGGGCAAGCGUUGUCCGGAAUGACUGGGCGUAAAGCGCGCGCAGGCGGUUUUUCACGUCUGGGGUGAAAGCCCGGGGCUCAACCCUGGGAUGGCCUUGGAAACGGGAAGACUUGAGGGUCGGAGAGGUCAGGGGAAUUCCACGUGUAGCGGUGAAAUGCGUAGAGAUGUGGAGGAAUACCAGUGGCGAAGGCGCCUGACUGGACGAAACC